rnacentral:lncRNA from 1 species
UGUGCUGUGGAAACAGAUGCAGCACCAGUUGAACCAAGCGGGCCCUGUUCUGGAUGGUCCCUGCCUCAGAGAGGUGCAGAAACAGCAUAGAAGACAUGCUGGGGGGUGGGGUGCCUUUAGCUUGCUGGAACAGUGAGGAGGCUGUGGGGCAGAGGGAAAGCUCUGCCCCUUUCAGUGCAGUAUAAGCCCAACUUCCGACUGCUGUGCAGAGAGAGGGCACCAGGGACCUUCCUAGACAAGAGCAGGAGUUGGUGUAUCAGAAGGAAGCUUGGUCCUUAUCUUGACAUCAUGAGUUUUAGAGUGACUGAAGGAGUGGAAGAUGCCGCAAACACUCUGGAGAGCAAUACCAACCUGGAGGAUUCGGAUGACUUCAGACAUCAUGGGCGCAAGACACCUGGUAGUAUAGAAGCCAGGUCCAUCCUGCCAAGGAAGAGAACAUGAGCUCCCUGGCCCUGCUGCUGGGACUGAGUCUGAAACACUCUACCUUUCCCAGGGUCACUUCAAAGUCAUUUGAAAGUCACUGUAAAACUUAAGGUGACUUAAAAUCUCAAUCAGAAUCCUUAAAAAUGAAAUUGCAGGGGAAGCCGUACUAGGGGUAGCCUGGCUUGAAUCAAACAGUACAGCAGAUAGUUUCAUGGUCACCUUCAAGGUCUGGGAUGGCUGGGAGAACCCUGCCACAUCCUAGAUACUCCCCACUCCCACCUUGACUCAGUGGGACAGUCAAUACCACCGUCCAUCCUGGAGACAACCCAGGGGAAAAUCAUAUCAAAGUCUGGUCAUUUGCCCCAGAAUAUUUAUAAACAAGCCUGGAGGUAAAAGGAGUCUUAUUAGAACUUUUCAAAAACUCUGCAGCUCUGUUAUACAGCCCCUUACCUUAACCACAAUGAUGACCUUCCCCUGCUUGAGACCAACUGCUACAGCUGAAGCACUGGUGUCUUUGGAAGUUUUCUCGGUCGUGAUAAUCUCCAGCAGCUGCAUCUUGUCCACGGGAGAGAAGUAGUGCAUGCCAAUCACCUGGCAAGGGGAACCAAAAGCCAACAGAUCGGAGAAUGCGGGUGAGGAACCUGAGAGCAUUCCUUCUCUGCUAGGAAAACACUAGAAAGAAAGGUGGCUGUGAUAUAGGAAUACUGCUUGACAUAGCUGAGUGGUUUGGUUCCAUGGGUCUUUGAUAAAAGUUUAGUAUGUUUAGGGAGAGCACAUUGGAAUCCUCCUCUUCCAUUUGCUUCUAAGGUUUUUCACUACAGACAUCUGAUCCUCCCAACAAUCAGUGCCAAAACCACAGCUCGAGGCCAAACUAGAUUUAUUGGGGAACGACGGAUGAAGGUUCCACUUAUAUUAAUGAUACUGAUGGUUUAGAUAAGAGGAUCCAGUUUUUUUGGGCGGGGGUGGGGCAGGCAGAAGAAUUAAUGUGUUGGGCUGUCAGAGAAGUAUUUGCAUUUUACACAGAUGGGUCUCACCACCAGGAUACUAGGUUUAACUAACACUCCUCAACAGUCAGAUGCACUUAAGACUCAUUAAACCAGCAGUUCUCCAAGUGUAGUACCCGGACCCAACAAGCACUGUCAUCACCUGGGAGCGUUAGGCCUGCACAUUCUCAGGCCUAGCCCAGCCCUACUGAAUCAGAAACUCCAUGGGUGGGGCCCAGAUUUGUUUUAAUAAUCCCUCCUGGUGAUUCUGAUGCGUGCUAAGGUUUCAGAGAAACCCCUCAUUGAGCUAACAGUUACAUAGUCUUCCCAACAGAACUGUGGUGAAAGAAGUCUAAUUCAUUAAUUUAUAGUUUUGCUUUCUCCCUCUCACUUUAGCUAUAAGGUACAACAAGUGAUAUCUGUAAUUUUUGGCUGCUCAUUAUCUACCUGCUCUUCAAUACAUUUACCACUUAUUCCUUACAUUUAAUCCAUUACAACCCUAUGAACUGGUCAGCCUAAUUAUCUAGAUGAGGAAAAAAGGUAUCAAGAGGUUAGUAGUACAGAGUCAGUCAGCAUAUGACGGGGUGGGAUUCCAUCACAGGUCUGUCUAUCUCCAAUGCCAUUAUGUAAUACACAGAUCAAGUAAAUGUUAUGUAAACUUAUCAAUCCAAAAGUUGUUUCUAACCCCUAAAGUGUUCUUUUACUUACAUCUGAAAUACUUAGGACCUGAUUCAGACUCAGUACUCCUGAGCAAAAGGAAUUAGCCUUUAUUGAUGUAGAAUUUCUAUAUAAUAAAAUGCACAGAUCUUGAAGUGUUCACAUC